rnacentral:ncRNA from 1 species
UUUUAUCUGGUAAGGUGGAUGAUAAGAGGUGUUGGGGCCAAAAUGAUCUUGGCCAAUUCUCAAACUUCAAAUGGAUAAGA